rnacentral:miRNA from 1 species
UGUAAGGGGAGAUGCAGGGAGC